GGGGGGAAUACCGUAAAGCUCUAUCUGCAGCUUCACAUAUCAUUCAGACAAUUCAGGUCUAGAGACACCAUAUGGCAAAGAAGUAUUUAGUUCCCAGAAUAGGAACUGGAGAUACCGCGCUAUUUUUGGUUCAAUGUGAUCUGAGAGGUUCCUUUACGGUCAUUGGGUUGAAUAGCUGUGUUUGGUAUUCACGUUAGCCCAGAUAUGUGACCCGAGUGGAUAGAUCAGGUAAUCUGCAGAUUUGGGGUUACAAUUCAGUAUAGGACAUGCCGAGGUUGGUAUAGUUGGCUGGCACAGUGUCUAUACCCUUCUGGUGCCCAGGCUGAAGCCUUCCAUUGACAUCUCAAUCACUAAAAUUUUAAAGCAUAUUUGUUUCAAAUUCCUGGAUGAUCAUUAAUGGAGCACUAUAGGGUCAGGAACACAAACAUGUAUUCCUGACCCUAUAGAAAUUUUUAAAAUGUAUUAUCUAUUUAAUGUACUAAAAU